rnacentral:rRNA from 1 species
UACGUAAGGGGCAAGCGUUGUCCGGAAUUAUUGGGCGUAAAGCGCGCGCAGGCGGUUCUUUAAGUCUGGUGUCUAAGUGCGGGGCUCAACCCCGUGUCGCACUGGAAACUGGGGAACUUGAGUGCAGAAGAGGAGAGCGGAAUUCCACGUGUAGCGGUGAAAUGCGUAGAGAUGUGGAGGAACACCAGUGGCGAAGGCGGCUCACUGGCCCGGUACUGACGCUGAGGUGCGAAAGCGUGGGGAGCAAACAGG